GGAAAGAAAGAGCAAGAGUCACAUCUGGCACCAAACAAGCUGCAGACGAGUUUGAGUAGGCACAUUCUGUCUGUAUGCCAUCCUCUACCAUUUGGGUAUAGCUGGCUGUGCAGGCAAUGGGAAGAGAAGUCAUCAGCUGGGCAGCAGAUAGACUAUUUUUGGGAGAAGAGACACCAGCACUGGAAGAUGUAUAAAUAGAUCUAGUAAAAUCGAAGCAGAAGGACUCACAGCAGAUCACAUUUGAGGACACCAGAAAAGAAACUAAUUAGCAGAAGAAGUUUUACAUUGUUCCUCUUGUGUGAGCAGCAAAUAAAUGCCUGGAAUACUCCCUCUCAGCUAUUUUCUAGAAGAGAUGAUUGAA